rnacentral:lncRNA from 1 species
CCGCGUGACAUGAGAUGCGCAUGGUUGCUUACAAGGCUCGUCCUUCUUUUUUUUUUUUGCCCGCCGAUCAAUCUCUCAAUUUUUUUUUUUAAUCAAAUUACUGAGGACAGCCUGUAAAAAUAGAAAUAAAAUAUAUUAUAAAAUUUGAAGAUAAGCACCACUCUAUUUUCAAAUUUAAUAUUAAAAAUAUACUACUGUAAAAGAUGCAAGUCAACCUGCCAC